rnacentral:rRNA from 1 species
GAUGAACGCUGGCGGCGUGCCUAAUACAUGCAAGUCGAGCGAACAGAUGAGGAGCUUGCUCCUCUGACGUUAGCGGCGGACGGGUGAGUAACACGUGGAUAACCUACCUAUAAGACUGGGAUAACUUCGGGAAACCGGAGCUAAUACCGGAUAAUAUAUUGAACCGCAUGGUUCAAUAGUGAAAGACGGUUUUGCUGUCACUUAUAGAUGGAUCCGCGCCGCAUUAGCUAGUUGGUAAGGUAACGGCUUACCAAGGCAACGAUGCGUAGCCGACCUGAGAGGGUGAUCGGCCACACUGGAACUGAGACACGGUCCAGACUCCUACGUGAGGCAGCAGUAGGGAAUCUUCCGCAAUGGGCGAAAGCCUGACGGAGCAACGCCGCGUGAGUGAUGAAGGUCUUCGGAUCGUAAAACUCCGUUAUUAGGGAAGAACAAAUGUGUAAGUAACUAUGCACGUCUUGACGGUACCUAAUCAGAAAGCCACGGCUAACUACGUG